rnacentral:rRNA from 1 species
GGAUUCCCCUAGUAACUGCGAGUGAAGCGGGAAAAGCUCAAAUUUAAAAUCUGGCGGUCUUUGGCCGUCCGAGUUGUAGUCUGGAGAAGUGCUUUCCGCGCUGGACCGUGUAUAAGUCUCUUGGAACAGAGCGUCAUAGAGGGUGAGAAUCCCGUCUUUGACACGGACUACCAGUGCUUUGUGAUGCGCUCUCAAAGAGUCGCGUUGUUUGGGAAUGCAGCGCAAAAUGGGUGGUGAAUUCCAUCUAAAGCUAAAUAUUGGCGAGAGACCGAUAGCGAACAAGUACCGUGAGGGAAAGAUGAAAAGCACUUUGGAAAGAGAGUUAAACAGUACGUGAAAUUGCUGAAAGGGAAACGCUUGAAGUCAGUCGCGUUGUCCGGAACUCAGCCUUGCUUCGGCUUGGUGCAUUUUCCGGGCGACGGGCCAGCAUCGAUUUUGACCGUCGGAAAAGGGCUGAGGGAAUGUGGCACCUUCGGGUGUGUUAUAGCCUUCAGUCGCAUACGGCGGUUGGGAUCGAGGAACGCAGCACGCCUUAUGGCUGGGGUUCGCCCACAUUCGUGCUUAGGAUGCUGGCAUAAUGGCUUUAAACGACCCGUCUUGAAACACGGACCAAGGAGUCUAACAUGCCUGCGAGUGUUUGGGUGGAAAACCCGAGCGCGUAAUGAAAGUGAAAG